ensembl:lncRNA
GGCCAGGCUGUGUGAAGGCAAAGCUUCUGAAAGGCUGGUGUAUAGGACCAGCACGGGAGAGAUGAACCGAGGCAGCUGCUGUCUGUGUUGUGCUUUUUUCUCUGAGUUGUAAAAGAUCAGAAGGUGACAGCUGUUCCUGCAGGGAAGACCAGUCUACGGAGCUCAGGAUCAGAUGGUGACAGUGGUCUCUUCAGGGUCAUGGAGCCAGGGAAGACCAGUCUGUGACAGGGGUCUCGUCAGGGUCAGGCAGCCAGUGAAGCCAGUCUGUGACGGCAUAGAGGAAUACGACUUUCCCGAAGCGGAACCUCUGUUUGGACCACCAUCCAGGACAAUGGAUCAGAUCCCAGUAGGCUCUGAUCCCACAAGGGUGCGUUCUAAGCCCUCUCCUGUACUCCCUGUUCACCCAUGACUGCGUGUCUCCAACUCAAUCAUCAAGUUUGC